GCUGCUGUAGCCCAACUGGAAGAGGCGCUGGUCUUAGAAACCAGAUGUUGUGGGUAUCUCCCUCCGGUAGACGCUCCGCGAACAACUCCCACCAGCAGUA
rnacentral:tRNA from 1 species